UCAUGGAGUCAGUCAUCGACUCGGUAAGACGACCUCGUGUGUUUACAAUCAAGCUAAAAUAGACAGAUGAUGACCCUUGUUUGUGACCCUCGUUUGUGACCCUCGUUUGUGACCCUCCUUUGUGACCCUCAUCUGUGACCCUCGUUUGUGACUCUUGUUUGUGACCCUUGACAUUGGUGUAACUGUGGUUUAAGUUAAUGUUGAGAUCAAUGUCGGAAUGUGUAAAAGUAUCUUAAACCCUAGACUAAAGCUCAGACUUAGCCCCAGACUAAGCCCUAGACUAAAGCUCAGACUUAACCCCAGACUUAGCCCCAGACUAAACCCCAGACUAAAGACUAAACCCUAGACUAAAGCUCAGACUUAACCCCAGACUAAACCCCAGACUAAAGACUAAACCCCAGACGAAANNNNNNNNNNCAUGGAGUCAGUCAUCGACUCGUUUCUCAACCAAUCGGCGAGCCCGGAAAGCUCAGACAGCAACAGCCUACCAAUGAGCUCCCAGAAACCCCUGCUGGCCACGCCUCUCCACCGAGACCACACCCCCCGACCCCAGAAAAAGAAUGACAUGUAAUUUUCCAUCUCUCUGUGCCUCUUGUUUUGACUCUUAUCUUCUUAUUAACACACCUGUAACAGUAACAUGUCACUNNNNNNNNNNACAUGUCACCCAUUGAGCAUGUUUGGGAUGCUCUGGAUAGACAUGUCACCCAUUGAGCAUGUUUGGGAUGCUCUGGAUUGACGUGUACGACAGAGUGUUCCAGUUCCCGACAAUAUCCAGCAACUUCACACAGCCAUUGAAGAGGAGUGGGACAACAUUCCACAGGCCAUGAGGCAAAUGAUCAGACCAGAUACUGACUGGUUUUCUGAUCCACAACUCCUACCUUUUUAUGACGAUAUCUAUGACCAACAUAUAUCUGUAUUCCCAGUCAUGUGAAAUCCAUAGAUUAGGGCUUAAUGAAUGUAUUUCAAUUGACUGAUUUCCUUAUAUGGACUGUAACUCGGCAAAAAACAACUAUAUAUUUGUGUUCAGUGUAAAUAGAUCCCGAUAGUUACCCCCCUCCAAAAAUAAAAUACAUCUAAAUAUAUAUAUUUAUGUUUUGUAUUAUUAUUAUUGGGCCGCCGGUUGCCAAUCUCUGGUUUAGACUGAAGCCCAGACUGAAGCCCAGACUGAA
rnacentral:lncRNA from 13 species